AUGAUAACCGACAUGUGCCCUACUUCCCCUCAGGCCGCUGCACCCGCGGGCCGUUCACGUACCCGAGGAUUAGCGGGGAUGCCGGCGCGCGAGGUCGGGCCAGGCUGCAACAACGCCGGCGUCGCCAAGGCGAUCCGCCAGGCUACUCGUGUGUAACGUCUGCACUGUGGAAGCGGGGACUAGACCACGCUCCGCCCUGAUUGGCGGACGAUGACAUCACCUCCGCGAGGAGACUCGCGCCAUGGUAACCCGCGCGCGCCGUCGGGGGGAUGCCCCUCGUGGAGACCACACAGACAGACGCACGUGUUCAAGCGCUCAGGCUGUGGCGCUGAACCAGGAGGCGUCUACGGUUCGGUUCCCCCAGACGGAGCGGCCGCUCAGGCAGCUCCAGCGACUCCCACAACGCCAGGACGGACUACCCGAACACCAAAACUGUUCUAUUGAUGUUUUUUUUUAACUCAUCUAUAGUUUAAAACCAAGACGAAGCUCAGCGGUGACGUGGACGUUAAAUCACAUUACUCUCCUUUCAACACAAGGGGGCGACACUGCGCCGCUUUAAAACACCACACGCUCAUAGCGUCCUUCUUUUAAUAUUGGGUAGUUUAUGUUUCUGUGAUAUAUAAAAUCGAUCCAAGUUUUUAGUGAGCUAAAGUAAAGU